rnacentral:rRNA from 1 species
UGCAAGUCGAGCGGUAGAGAGAAGCUUGCUUCUCUUGAGAGCGGCGGACGGGUGAGUAAUGCCUAGGAAUCUGCCUGGUAGUGGGGGAUAACGUUCGGAAACGGACGCUAAUACCGCAUACGUCCUACGGGAGAAAGCAGGGGACCUUCGGGCCUUGCGCUAUCAGAUGAGCCUAGGUCGGAUUAGCUAGUUGGUGAGGUAAUGGCUCACCAAGGCGACGAUCCGUAACUGGUCUGAGAGGAUGAUCAGUCACACUGGAACUGAGACACGGUCCAGACUCCUACGGGAGGCAGCAGUGGGGAAUAUUGGACAAUGGGCGAAAGCCUGAUCCAGCCAUGCCGCGUGUGUGAAGAAGGUCUUCGGAUUGUAAAGCACUUUAAGUUGGGAGGAAGAGCAGUUACCUAAUACGUGAUUGUUUUGACGUUACCGACAGAAUAAGCACCGGCUAACUCUGUGCCAGCAGCCGCGGUAAUACAGAGGGUGCAAGCGUUAAUCGGAAUUACUGGGCGUAAAGCGCGCGUAGGUGGUUAGUUAAGUUGGAUGUGAAAUCCCCGGGCUCAACCUGGGAACUGCAUUCAAAACUGACUGACUAGAGUAUGGUAGAGGGUGGUGGAAUUUCCUGUGUAGCGGUGA